UCUAUUUUCUUUUCGACUUCACCUUCUUUUUUUCUAGAAGGGCAAAAAUACGAAAACCACGACAUAAACCUAGCUAGGGUUUUUGAUUCCAGAUUUCUUCUGUAGGUGAUGGAGGAGUCUGUGGCAUCUACCACUCGCGAUUUUUCUGAAUUAUCUGUUUCUAUAAACCCACCUCCAUCACGAAGGUUGGAACCGAUCGAUUUUUCUAGAUUAAGAUGGGGUUCAAUAGGUUUCACCCUCCGGAGAAAGGAUCCCAACUUUGAUGGUUGUGUUGAUGGUAACGCUGCACGUUAUGAGCACGUGAUUCUAUUUGAGGGUAGGCUGGGUAGCACUUUCACUGUCGAUGACGGCCCUGAACGAGAUGCUAAUGAUCCUAUAAACGCUGAAUUUCUGGAGGAUAUUUCUAGCUGGACGCGAUACGUUGUUCUUUCUCUUAAAUUCUCUGUCAGAAGCUUCACCCAGUUGCUGCGUGGUGGUGAGCGAGACUUUUGCUUUGUUCAACGCCUAAACACAAUUUUGAAAAAGAAAUCCAACUUUUUGUUUUUAAUUGGUAUUUUUGGAGAGCAUUAAGAAUUUCAGAAUUCCUGAAGAAUUUGAGGAAGUUGGAUUGCAUACUUUUCUGGUGCAAAGAACCUGUAAAGCGUUCGAAGAAGCUGCUGGUAAGUUUGUCCCGAAAAAACAUUGCGAGGAGUCUAUUAAGUAUAUGUGGUUUUGAGGAGUAUCUUAAGCUUAUGUCAUUCGAGCUAAAGAUAUGACUUGUUAACUGGCUGCGAAUCUUACAUAUUAUCAGGGAUUUGAUGUAUGGAAUUAAGCUUACAUUACAGUAUUUGAUGCCGCACCAAGAAAUGCUCUCUCUCACUCAAGUGGUUGUUCUGUUGGUAACGCUGCAUAUUAUGAGCACGUGAUUAAACUUGAGGGAACAAUUUUCACUGUCAGUGACGGCCCUGAACGGGAUGUUAAUGAUCCUAGGAACGCAGAACUGUUGGAGGUAGUUCACGCCUGUUAUUUUGAUUGUGUAAGGAGACUGAACUUCAUAGCCACUAGUUUUUGUUUCUGUCACAGGGUUUGGUUGAAUUCAUCUGGCCGACUCUGGAUGGGCAGUAUAUAUGCUGCAUUUUUUCUCCAGGAUCCCAUUUGAACCCAACCUGUGCAAGGCAGACAAAAAUACAUAGUGGACUUGCAAAUACCAAGGAAAAAUACUUUGUUAGUUAGUUUAAUCUUAUGAUAUUUAGAAGCACAGACGAGGUGGCUAAGUGGUAGUAUUUCUACUUCGGGUGCCUCACCAUACUAUCAUCGCCCCUGUCUAAGGUGCAUCGGAUUCAAGUACUUGGAAAACAAACAUAAACUUGUAUAUAGGUGCCCUGAAACUAUAUGCACUUUUAUCGACAUUAACUAUUUCACUUCUUUAGUCAAUUGGCUAGAUAGAAGAGAAGAUAUCUUAUCUUGUUUCCGUUUUGUGAGUAAGGCAUCACUGUUACCCUAGAUUACUACCCAGCCCCUCGCCCCUAACAACAUAGGUUUUCUCUCCUCCCAUUUAGUGAUAUGCUCAGAUAAAUAUCCAUCACAGCCCCCAGAUUUCUUGGAAGUAAGCAGCUGGUUGAAGACUUGGGAAAUUUACGACAGUCCUGAUUGAUUCACUUGGUCAUUUACUAUUGGGUCAAGUCAAGCUUCGUACGCUAAGAGCAUCAAGAACUACAAAAUUCCCAAAGAAUUUGCAGAAGAUGUUGAGAACCUGUAACGCGUCCAAAGAAGCUGCUGGCAAGUUUGUCCUAGACGAAUGUGUUGAGGAGAGUUUUGAGUAUAUGUGGCUUUGAGGAGUAUCUUAAGCUUAUGUUCCUUUUUUUUUGCUUAUGUCAUUCGAGCUAAAGAUAUUAUUUGUUAACUGGCUGUGAAUCUUACAUAUUAUCAACUUUGGGACUGGGGUAAUGGUGUAUCAGAUUUAAGUACUGUGUAAUUUCUGUGUACUGGGUCUGGGUGUUUUGUAACUUUUACAAUUUUCUGGACACCGCUAAGCACUUGAGUAAUUUUAUCUUUUUGGUUGAAAUAAUAGCUUUAACCCCUUGCGGUUCCAUAUUUA